ensembl:snRNA U6 U6 spliceosomal RNA
GUGCUAGCUUUGGCACAUAUACUAAAAGUGGAAUGGUACAGAGAAGCUUGGCGUGGUCCCUGAAAAAGAAUGACAUGCAGAUUCAUGAAGCAAUCCAUAUUUUU